GUUGUUGGGCCGGUGGUGACUUCUUUAGGUGGCUUUGUGGAGGUGGAUGGACUUGUCUCAGUUGUGGUUUCUUCAACUGUUGUUGUUCCACCUGUGGUAGGUUUAGUUGUUGUGGGUACAAUUGUAGUUGUUGUUAAAGUAGUGGGAUUGGAUGUUAUCACUACUGGACCUGUUGUUUCUUCACCUGUUGUUAUGGGCUGAGAUGUUGAGGUAGAGGUUUCAACAAUUACAGUGGUGGAAGUGGUUGUUGGGCCGGUGGUGACUUCUUUAGGUGGCUUUGUGGAUGCAGAUGAAAUUGUCUCAGUUGUGG